UGAGGAAUCUUGCGCAAUGGGGGAAACCCUGACGCAGCAACGCCGCGUGAGUGAGGAAGGUUUUCGAAUCGUAAAGCUCUGUCAGGUGGAAAGAAAUGUAUGGACGUUAAUAGCUUCCAUGCUUGACGGUACCACCAGAGGAAGCACCGGCUAACUCCGUGCCAGCAGCCGCGGUCAUACGGGGGGUGCAAGCGUUGUUCGGAAUCAUUGGGCGUAAAGAGCGUGUAGGCGGCUUGAUAAGUCAGAUGUGAAAGCCCUGGGCUUAACCCAGGAAGUGCAUUUGAUACUGUCUAGCUAGAGUAAGUGAGAGGAAAGCGGAAUUCCUGGUGUAGAGGUGAAAUUCGUAGAGAUCAGGAGGAACACCGGUGGCGAAGGCGGCUUUCUGGCCCUAUACUGACGCUGAGACGCGAGAGCGUGGGUAGCAAACA
rnacentral:rRNA from 1 species